AGAUUAAGUUAUUAAGGGCGCACGGUGGAUGCCUUGGCACUAGAAGCCGAAGAAGGACGUUACUAACGACGAUAUGCUUUGGGGAGCUGUAAGUAAGCGUUGAUCCAGAGAUUUCCGAAUGGGGAAACCCAACAUGAGUUAUGUCAUGUUAUCGAUAUGUGAAUACAUAGCAUAUCAGAAGGCAGACCCGGAGAACUGAAACAUCUUAGUACCCGGAGGAAGAGAAAGAAAAAUCGAUUCCCUGAGUAGCGGCGAGCGAAACGGGAAGAGCCCAAACCAACAAGCUUGCUUGUUGGGGUUGUAGGACACUCUAUAUGGAGUUACAAAAGUAUAUAUUAGACGAAUCAUCUGGAAAGUUGAAUCAAAGAAGGUAAUAAUCCUGUAGUCGAAAAUAUAUACUCUCUUGAGUGGAUCCUGAGUACGACGGAGCACGUGAAAUUCCGUCGGAAUCUGGGAGGACCAUCUCCUAAGGCUAAAUACUCUCUAGUGACCGAUAGUGAACCAGUACCGUGAGGGAAAGGUGAAAAGUACCCCGGAAGGGGAGUGAAAGAGAACUUGAAACCGUGUGCUUACAAGUAGUCAGAGCCCGUUAAUGGGUGAUGGCGUGCCUUUUGUAGAAUGAACCGGCGAGUUACGAUUUGAUGCAAGGUUAAGCAGUGAAUGUGGAGCCGUAGCGAAAGCGAGUCUGAAUAGGGCGUUGAGUAUUUGGUCGUAGACCCGAAACCAGGUGAUCUACCCUUGGUCAGGUUGAAGUUCAGGUAACACUGAAUGGAGGACCGAACCGACUUACGUUGAAAAGUGAGCGGAUGAACUGAGGGUAGCGGAGAAAUUCCAAUCGAACCUGGAGAUAGCUGGUUCUCUCCGAAAUAGCUUUAGGGCUAGCCUCAAGUGAUGAUUAUUGGAGGUAGAGCACUGUUUGGACGAGGGGCCCUUCUCGGGUUACCGAAUUCAGACAAACUCCGAAUGCCAAUCAAUUUAACUUGGGAGUCAGAACAUGGGUGAUAAGGUCCGUGUUCGAAAGGGAAACAGCCCAGACCACCAGCUAAGGUCCCAAAAUAUAUGUUAAGUGGAAAAGGAUGUGGCGUUGCCCAGACAACUAGGAUGUUGGCUUAGAAGCAGCCAUCAUUUAAAGAGUGCGUAAUAGCUCACUAGUCGAGUGACACUGCGCCGAAAAUGUACCGGGGCUAAACAUAUUACCGAAGCUGUGGAUUGUCCGUAGGACAAUGGUAGGAGAGCGUUCUAAGGGCGUUGAAGCAUGAUCGCAAGGACAUGUGGAGCGCUUAGAAGUGAGAAUGCCGGUGUGAGUAGCGAAAGACGGGUGAGAAUCCCGUCCACCGAUUGACUAAGGUUUCCAGAGGAAGGCUCGUCCGCUCUGGGUUAGUCGGGUCCUAAGCUGAGGCCGACAGGCGUAGGCGAUGGAUAACAGGUUGAUAUUCCUGUACCACCUAGUAUCGUUUUAAUCGAUGGGGGGACGCAGUAGGAUAGGCGAAGCGUGCUAUUGGAUUGCACGUCCAAGCAGUAAGACUGAGUGUUAGGCAAAUCCGGCACUCAUAAGGUCAAGCUGUGAUGGGGAGAGGAAAUUGUUUCCUCGAGUCGUUGAUUUCACACUGCCAAGAAAAGCCUCUAGAUAGAUAACAGGUGCCCGUACCGCAAACCGACACAGGUAGUCAAGAUGAGAAUUCUAAGGUGAGCGAGCGAACUCUCGUUAAGGAACUCGGCAAAAUGACCCCGUAACUUCGGGAGAAGGGGUGCUCUUUAGGGUUAACGCCCAGAAGAGCCGCAGUGAAUAGGCCCAAGCGACUGUUUAUCAAAAACACAGGUCUCUGCUAAACCGUAAGGUGAUGUAUAGGGGCUGACGCCUGCCCGGUGCUGGAAGGUUAAGAGGAGUAGUUAGCUUCUGCGAAGCUACGAAUCGAAGCCCCAGUAAACGGCGGCCGUAACUAUAACGGUCCUAAGGUAGCGAAAUUCCUUGUCGGGUAAGUUCCGACCCGCACGAAAGGCGUAACGAUUUGGGCACUGUCUCAACGAGAGACUCGGUGAAAUCAUAGUACCUGUGAAGAUGCAGGUUACCCGCGACAGGACGGAAAGACCCCGUGGAGCUUUACUGUAGCCUGAUAUUGAAAUUCGGCACAGCUUGUACAGGAUAGGUAGGAGCCUUUGAAACGUGAGCGCUAGCUUACGUGGAGGCAUUGGUGGGAUACUACCCUAGCUGUGUUGGCUUUCUAACCCGCACCACUUAUCGUGGUGGGAGACAGUGUCAGGUGGGCAGUUUGACUGGGGCGGUCGCCUCCUAAAAGGUAACGGAGGCGCUCAAAGGUUCCCUCAGAAUGGUUGGAAAUCAUUCAUAGAGUGUAAAGGCAUAAGGGAGCUUGACUGCGAGACUUACAAGUCGAGCAGGGUCGAAAGACGGACUUAGUGAUCCGGUGGUUCCGCAUGGAAGGGCCAUCGCUCAACGGAUAAAAGCUACCCCGGGGAUAACAGGCUUAUCUCCCCCAAGAGUUCACAUCGACGGGGAGGUUUGGCACCUCGAUGUCGGCUCAUCGCAUCCUGGGGCUGUAGUCGGUCCCAAGGGUUGGGCUGUUCGCCCAUUAAAGCGGUACGCGAGCUGGGUUCAGAACGUCGUGAGACAGUUCGGUCCCUAUCCGUCGUGGGCGUAGGAAAUUUGAGAGGAGCUGUCCUUAGUACGAGAGGACCGGGAUGGACAUACCUCUGGUGUACCAGUUGUCGUGCCAACGGCAUAGCUGGGUAGCUAUGUAUGGACGGGAUAAGUGCUGAAAGCAUCUAAGCAUGAAGCCCCCCUCAAGAUGAGAUUUCCCAACUUCGGUUAUAAGAUCCCUCAAAGAUGAUGAGGUUAAUAGGUUCGAGGUGGAAGCGUGGUGACACGUGGAGCUGACGAAUACUAAUCGAUCGAAGACUUAAUCAAUUU
rnacentral:rRNA from 1 species